AUUGAACGCUGGCGGCAUGCCUUACACAUGCAAGUCGAACGGUAACGGGCCUUCGGGUGCCGACGAGUGGCGAACGGGUGCGUAAUACAUCGGAACGUGCCCGAUCGUGGGGGAUAACGAGGCGAAAGCUUUGCUAAUACCGCAUACGAUCUACGGAUGAAAGCAGGGGACCGCAAGGCCUUGCGCGGACGGAGCGGCCGAUGGCAGAUUAGGUAGUUGGUGGGUUAAAAGCUUACCAAGCCGACGAUCUGUAGCUGGUCUGAGAGGAUGAUCAGCCACACUGGGACUGAGACACGGCCCAGACUCCUACGGGAGGCAGCAGUGGGGAAUUUUGGACAAUGGGCGCAAGCCUGAUCCAGCCAUGCCGCGUGCAGGAUGAAGGCCUUCGGGUUGUAAACUGCUUUUGUACGGAACGAAAAGCCUUCUUUUAAUACAGGAGGGUCAUGACGGUACCGUAAGAAUAAGCACCGGCUAACUACGUG
rnacentral:rRNA from 1 species